rnacentral:rRNA from 1 species
UACGUAGGGUGCAAGCGUUGUCCGGAAUUAUUGGGCGUGAGGAGCUCGUAGGCGGUUUGUUGCGUCGGCUGUGAAAACCUGAGGCUCAACCUCAGGCCUGCAGUCGAUACGAGCAGACUAGAGUGUUGUAGGGGAGACUGGAAUUCCUGGUGUAGCGGUGAAAUGCGCAGAUAUCAGGAGGAACACCGGUGGCGAAGGCGGGUCUCUGGGCAACAACUGACGCUGAGGAGCGAAAGCGUGGGGAGCGAACAGG